GUCAAGCAGUCUUUCACGUGUGCAAUGUUCUGUCCAGAAGGACUAAUGACUCCAUUUAGGGUUAAAACCAACUACUUUGUCCAUCUAAAGGUGACACUGAACCAGUUCAACAGAGGCCCACCACUUUGAUUCUAUUUUGAAGGUGCCCAUGAUGAAAAGGCCUUUUACACCGUAUGAAGUGGACCUGUAAACUUGGUACUUUUUUCUGUGGAAAUCUAUUUCAGAUCCAAACAAUCCUUGCAUGUCCAUCUGAGAGAUCAUGGACUCAAUGAAAACACUAAUGGACUAAUAAGCUUUAAGCCUGGUAUUUGGAGCACCUUCGUUGUUACGAAUUCUGCAAGAAAGAUCCAGAUCAACUGAUGGCCACUGAACCCAGUGAACUAAACCACUACCUUCCACUGUCAUCCUACGCUGUCCAAGGCCGACUGGUGAUUUCUCCAAAGGUGUUUCUUGUACAUUGAGACAACCUUGUAAUGUAGCAAGUUGGUGAAAUGAUGAACAUCACAUUCCCCCUACGAAGAAAAGAAAUAGUUGAAAAUCAACCUCUUGCGGCUGAAGUCAAAGAAGGGUGGCCAGCCCUGUUCAAAGAACAGCAGGCACAUUUCGAUUUUUCUCUUUCACACAUUUGUCAACUUUUUGUCUUUUUUAAAAAGUUGUGUAAAGUUGCAAAUUUUGUUGUUGUCACCUUCAAUUACAGAUUGAAGCAGAGUUUGCUCGGCUGACAUCUGUUGACCUGAAGAAGUCUUUCUUCAGUGGACUGGAUCAGCAUUUGCCAAGGUUCCUGGAGCUGUUCAAGGCCAAGAGUGGGAAAUCAGCUGGACUAAGCAGGCAGCUUAAAUGUCUUGAUGACUCCUCUAUACUGAGGAAGAGGUCAUUUGUUCUUCCGGUGCCUUCCGUAUUUUCUCAAGGAUGAUCCUUCAAAUGCAUUCAAGACUGUUCAGGCCAUUGACGAGGAAGCCACACUCACUCGGGGAAUGCAAGUGUGAGUUCUGCUGGUGAAAGAUGGAGAGGACAUCAUUGCCACAUCAGUCAUUCUUGAGGAACAAGUGGUCCUGCCUGAUGUGGAGGACAUUCCUCAUGCCAUUGCUCUACUGAUGGGUCUGCUUUUUGCCUUUAAUAUAGACUAUCCAAAGGAACUCAGGUACACAUUUGAAGUUUUUCAAAAGGUCCUGAUGAACAUCGGCGGAGGUCAGUUUUCCUCCCUUGUGCAUGGUUUGAGAAACAGACUGUUACAAAAAACCAUGUAGAUUCUCCUGAAAUGUCUCAUCUCAUGACUCAUGGAUGUCUGAGCUUUUUGAAAGCACUCAACGUUUCCUGUUAAACAUUGUUCCAAAGGUCAUAUAGAAGUUUGGCACAUGGUUUGGAAUUCUUGUUUUGUUAUUUCAUCUGUUUAGGUUUAUUCCAUCAGAAAAUAUAGUCAUAUCAGUUCAAAGCCAAUCAAAUGCAUAGGUUGAUAAAAAGUAUUGCAAUAAAGAGGUCAACAUAAGACCAAACGAUAGAGGACAAGAUUAAAAUGUGCACUAUUUGUUUAGAACUACUAUUUUGAAUUGUAGUAUCAUUUUGAAUUUUAUUUUAUUGUUUUUAUUUGUGCAAGGUUUUGUCAGAUGCUUUAAAAGUUUAUGCACUUGAGUUAAUGUGCAAUUACUUGUCUCAUUUCAGACACUAAAUAUGUUCUAACUAUAAGACCUUGAUAAGCUGCUGUGUUAAUGUUUUUUUUUUGAGUGCAGACUGUUCUAAAACGUUUUCACUAUUCAUUACAAAACAAAACAGCUUCAGUAAAUGUUGCAGAGCUGUAACUUCAUUACUGCUAAAUAAAUAAAAAAACUAGCUGAGUUGAUGAA